UCUCGGAGGGGCAGGGAAGAGGAGGAGGCUGAUGCUGUCCUCUUAGAUCCUUCCUGGAGCAACCAUGGGUACCGCUGCGGCAGCGAUGCCCAGUGUUAGAAAGGCCAGAGCUAGCUCUGGUAGAAGGUGUCUGUGACGGAAGGCGCCUGCAUUGUUCGUUCUGUCCCCAUCCUGAAGUGAGGGCACCAGAGGCUGGAGAAAGCCCAGCUUCAGGACCACCAACCUUCCGGCACUUUCUGGGACAAGUGGGGACGUGACGUGUGCCUUGGCCAAAGACGCUGGCCCUCCAGAGAAGAGGAGCCACCCGAGGGACAUCGGCCAGGACAGUGAGAAUACACAGCAACCCUUAAAACUCCUUUUUGACAUCAGAGGUGACGAAAGAGCCAGCUAGGGAUGCAGACGAUGGUGUCAUUGCAGGAGACGUCCCCCGAAGCUGGGACACUGAAUCGGGGCAGAGACGGGCCCACGGAGCGAC